rnacentral:rRNA from 1 species
GACGAACGCUGGCGGCGUGCUUAACACAUGCAAGUCGAACGGAAAGGCCCUGCUUUUGUGGGGUGCUCGAGUGGCGAAAGGGUGAGUAACACGUGAGUAACCUGCCCUUGACUUUGGGAUAACUUCAGGAAACUGGGGCUAAUACCGGAUAGGAGCUCCUGCUGCAUGGUGGGGGUUGGAAAGUUUCGGCGGUUGGGGAUGGACUCGCGGCUUAUCAGCUUGUUGGUGGGGUAGUGGCUUACCAAGGCUUUGACGGGUAGCCGGCCUGAUAGGGUGACCGGCCACAUUGGGACUGAGAUACGGCCCAGACUCCUACGGGAGGCAGCAGUGGGGAAUAUUGCACAAUGGGCGGAAGCCUGAUGCAGCAACGCCGCGUGCGGGAUGACGGCCUUCGGGUUGUAAACCGCUUUCGCCUGUGACGAAGCGUGAGUGACGGUAAUGGGUAAAGAAGCACCGGCUAACUACGUG